rnacentral:rRNA from 1 species
GAUGAACGCUAGCUACAGGCUUAACACAUGCAAGUCGAGGGGAAACGAUAGAGAAAGCUUGCUUUUUCUAGGCGUCGACCGGCGCACGGGUGAGUAACGCGUAUCCAACCUGCCCACCACUUGGGGAUAACCUUGCGGAAGUAAGACCAAUACCCAAUGAUAUCUCAAGAAGACAUCUGAAUGAGAUUAAAGAUUUAUCGGUGAUGGAUGGGGAUACGUCUGAUUAGCUUGUUGGCGGGGUAACGGCCCACCAAGGCGACGAUCAGUAGGGGUUCUGAGAGGAAGGUCCCCCACAUUGGAACUGAGACACGGUCCAAACUCCUACGGGAGGCAGCAGUGAGGAAUAUUGGUCAAUGGGCGAGAGCCUGAACCAGCCAAGUAGCGUGCAUGAUGACGGCCCUAUGGGUUGUAAACUGCUUCUAUAAGGGAAUAAAGUGAGUCUCGCGAGGCUUUUUGCAUGUACCUUAUGAAUAAGGACCGGCUAAUUCCGUGCCAGCCGCCGCCGUAA